rnacentral:rRNA from 1 species
GACGAACGCUGGCGGCGUGCUUAACACAUGCAAGUCGAACGGAAAGGCCCUGCUCUUGUGGGGUGCUCGAGUGGCGAACGGGUGAGUAACACGUGAGUAACCUGCCCUUGACUUUGGGAUAACAUCAGGAAAAUGGGGAUAAUACCGGAUAGGAGCUCCUGCUGCAUGGGGGGGGUUGGAAAGUUUCGGCGGUUGGGGAUGGAAUCGCGGCUUAUCCGCUUGUUGGUGGGGUAGGUGUUUACCAAGGCUUUGAAGGGUAGCCGGCCUGAGAGGGGGACCGGCCACAUUGGUACUGAGAGACGGCCCAGACGCCUACGGGAGGCAGCAGGGGGGAAUAUUGCACAAUGGGCGGAAGCCUGAUGCAGCGACGCCGCGUGCGGGAUGACGGCUUUCGGGUUGUAAACCGCUUUCGCCUGUGACGAAGCGUGAGUGACGGUAAUGGGUAAAGAAGCACCGGCUAACUACGUG